AUGCCACCCUGAACGUGCCCGAUCUCAUCUCAUCUCGAGAGCUAAGCAGGGUUGGGCCUGCUUAGUACUUGGAUGGGAGAACAAUCAGU
rnacentral:rRNA from 1 species